UACGAAGGGGGCUAGCGUUGCUCGGAAUGACUGGGCGUAAAGGGCGCGUAGGCGGUUCGUACAGUCAGGCGUGAAAUUCCCGGGCUUAACCUGGGGGCUGCGUUUGAUACGUGCGGGCUUGAGUUCGGAAGAGGGUCGUGGAAUUCCCAGUGUAGAGGUGAAAUUCGUAGAUAUUGGGAAGAACACCGGUGGCGAAGGCGGCGACCUGGUCCGAUACUGACGCUGUGGCGCGAAAGCUAGGGGAGCAAACGGG
rnacentral:rRNA from 1 species